GGUWMSKAKKYAAGCACCGGCUAACUCCGUGCCAGCAGCUGCGGUAWUACGGGGGGUGCAAGCGUUGUUCGGAAUUAUUGGGCGUAAAGCGCGUGUAGGCGGUCUGAUUAGUCUGAUGUGAAAGCCCUGGGCUCAACCCAGGAAGUGCAUUGGAUACUGUCAGACUUGAAUACGGGAGAGGGUAGUGGAAUUCCUAGUGUAGGAGUGAAAUCCGUAGAUAUUAGGAGGAACACCGGUGGCGAAGGCGGCUACCUGGACCGAUAUUGACGCUGAGACGCGAAAGCGUGGGUAGCAAACAGGAUUAGAUACCCUGGUAGUCCACGCCGUAAACGAUGAGAACUAGGUGUCGCGGGUA
rnacentral:rRNA from 1 species